CCCUGCCACAUUAUGCAUUUCAGACAGAAUAUGAGACCCAAUCUGUGUUGGCUUGUCAGUCAUCCAGCCUCUUGUUUUAGGAUGCCCCCAUUAAAUGGUGGGCAGGAGAUCAACAGCGGUGGGACUAAGCUCUGAUGACAAGCUGCUGGAGAGGCUGCAGAGGAAGACGGAAGGAGUGGAGUUUGCAUGGGGACUGUCUGAGCAGCAGACACAUAUGCACAAACCCACAUCCACCUCCUCAUAGACAUGCACAUCAUAGCUGCCUGCAACCUGAUACCACGGUCCCUUGAAUGAGUAUUUUAAGCAGAGGCCCUGAUGGAAGAUCAAUCUCAAGCCCAGUUGACCUCUAUUCAUUUUGCCACCGACUCUGAGCAGCUUUCCCAGCAGCAUGAUGCUGAACACACCGUGUAGGAGAUAGAGUUAUGAGGGUGUCCCGGUGGCGGGAGAUAAAUUUGACAGCAAGGAGAUGUCAGGCUGGCAACAGCUGUGGGCUACAGUUUCACCAGAUGUCUGCCGUUGCUAACCUUCAGAGACAUGAACUGGCCUCCAGCCCCACCCUCACCACCCCCUCUGGACCUACUUUACACACACAGUAAAUAUUUUCCCAGCACAAAAUGUAGAGGAGGCGCGGAGCAGAAUUUGUUUGUCACGGCUCAAACGGUCAGAGCCCUCAGGGCUGUGAUUUAUAAGACCCAGAGGAACAUGGUGAUGGCAGGAAGCCUGUGUUUUACUCCGUCACACAGCUGGAGUCAUGACAGACUCUGUGCUCGCUACGGGCUAAUAGUACUCAUUGGAUGAUAUGCUGGUGAAGAUUCUUAGUCAUUCAAAAAAAAAGACAAUUAAAAA